rnacentral:miRNA from 1 species
AGUUGUGUGUGCAUGUGCAUGUGU